AUAAACUUAGGGGACAUCCGAUAAAAUUGGAACGAUAAGAAAUGAUUAGCAUGGCCCCGUGCAAGGAUGGCAUACACAAAUCAAGAAAUUGUAUCAAAGUCA